rnacentral:lncRNA from 1 species
AAAGACUUAGGAUUUUUUUCUUUUUUGUUCUGUUAGAAAAAGAAAGAAUUUCCUAUUUUUCCUUAAAAUCAAUACAAUAUAAAAUAAAUAACUAAGAGACUGGAAAUGGAAGUAUUUUCCACGCAUCCAUUCUCCAUCACGCUGUCAGAAGAAAAAUCUUGGAUGCUGUAAUAUGGAAAUAUUUGGUACAUGAAGCUACGAUCUAAUAGAUAUACAUCUAAAUAAAUAAAUCUGAUUAUAAAUCUUAUAUAGAUAUAAAUAAAUCGUAUAUAG